rnacentral:rRNA from 1 species
GACGAACGCUGGCGGCGUGCCUAAUACAUGCAAGUCGAACGCUUCUUUCCUCCCUAGUGCUUGCACUCAAUUGGAAAGAGGAGUGGCGGACGGGUGAGUAACACGUGGGUAACCUACCCAUCAGAGGGGGAUAACACUUGGAAACAGGUGCUAAUACCGCAUAACAGUUUAUGCCGCAUGGCAUAAGAGUGAAAGGCGCUGUCGGGUGUCGCUGAUGGAUGGACCCGCGGUGCAUUAGCUAGUUGGUGAGGUAACGGCUCACCAAGGCCACGAUGCAUAGACGACCUGAGAGGGUGAUCGGCCACACUGGGACUGAGACACGGCACAGACUCCUACGGGAGGCAGCAGUAGGGAAUCUUCGGCAAUGGACGAAAGUCUGACCGAGCAACGCCGCGUGAGUGAAGAAGGUUUUCGGAUCGUAAAACUCUGUUGUUAGAGAAGAACAAGGACGUUAGUAACUGAACGUCCCCUGACGGUAUCUAACCAGAAAGCCACGGCUAACUACGUG